UACAGAGGGGGCAAGCGUUAUUCGGAAUUAUUGGGCGUAAAGGGCGCGUAGGCGGCUUUUCAAGUGACGGGUGAAAUCCCUCGGCUUAACCGAGGAACUGCCUGUCAGACUGGAAGGCUUGAGACCGGGAGAGGUGAGUGGAAUUCCCAGUGUAGCGGUGAAAUGCGUAGAUAUUGGGAGGAACACCAGUGGCGAAGGCGGCUCACUGGACUGGUAUUGACGCUGAGGUGCGAAAGCGUGGGGAGCAAACAGG
rnacentral:rRNA from 1 species